GGUUAAGCGACUAAGCGUACACGGUGGAUGCCCUGGCAGUCAGAGGCGAUGAAGGACGUGCUAAUCUGCGAAAAGCGUCGGUAAGGUGAUAUGAACCGUUAUAACCGGCGAUGUCCGAAUGGGGAAACCCAGUGUGAUUCGUCACACUAUCGUUAACUGAAUACAUAGGUUAACGAGGCGAACCGGGGGAACUGAAACAUCUAAGUACCCCGAGGAAAAGAAAUCAACCGAGAUUCCCCCAGUAGCGGCGAGCGAACGGGGAGCAGCCCAGAGUCUGAAUCAGCUUGUGUGUUAGUGGAACGGUCUGGAAAGUCCGACGGUACAGGGUGAUAGUCCCGUACACCAAAAUGCACAGGCUGUGAACUCGAAGAGUAGGGCGGGACACGUGGUAUCCUGUCUGAAUAUGGGGGGACCAUCCUCCAAGGCUAAAUACUCCUGACUGACCGAUAGUGAACCAGUACCGUGAGGGAAAGGCGAAAAGAACCCCGGCGAGGGGAGUGAAAAAGAACCUGAAACCGUGUACGUACAAGCAGUGGGAGCACCUUCGGGUGUGACUGCGUACCUUUUGUAUAAUGGGUCAGCGACUUAUAUUCUGUAGCAAGGUUAACCGUAUAGGGGAGCCGCAGGGAAACCGAGUCUUAACUGGGCGUUAAGUUGCAGGGUAUAGACCCGAAACCCGGUGAUCUAGCCAUGGGCAGGUUGAAGGUUGGGUAACACUAACUGGAGGACCGAACCGACUAAUGUUGAAAAAUUAGCGGAUGACUUGUGGCUGGGGGUGAAAGGCCAAUCAAACCGGGAGAUAGCUGGUUCUCCCCGAAAGCUAUUUAGGUAGCGCCUCGUGAAUUCAUCUUCGGGGGUAGAGCACUGUUUCGGCUAGGGGGUCAUCCCGACUUACCAACCCGAUGCAAACUACGAAUACCGAAGAAUGUUAUCACGGGAGACACACGGCGGGUGCUAACGUCCGUCGUGAAGAGGGAAACAACCCAGACCGCCAGCUAAGGUCCCAAAGUCAUGGUUAAGUGGGAAACGAUGUGGGAAGGCACAGACAGCCAGGAUGUUGGCUUAGAAGCAGCCAUCAUUUAAAGAAAGCGUAAUAGCUCACUGGUCGAGUCGGCCUGCGCGGAAGAUGUAACGGGGCUAAACCAUGCACCGAAGCUGCGGCAGCGACACUAUGUGUUGUUGGGUAGGGGAGCGUUCUGUAAGCCUGCGAAGGUGUGCUGUGAGGCAUGCUGGAGGUAUCAGAAGUGCGAAUGCUGACAUAAGUAACGAUAAAGCGGGUGAAAAGCCCGCUCGCCGGAAGACCAAGGGUUCCUGUCCAACGUUAAUCGGGGCAGGGUGAGUCGACCCCUAAGGCGAGGCCGAAAGGCGUAGUCGAUGGGAAACAGGUUAAUAUUCCUGUACUUGGUGUUACUGCGAAGGGGGGACGGAGAAGGCUAUGUUAGCCGGGCGACGGUUGUCCCGGUUUAAGCAUGUAGGCUGAUUAUCCAGGCAAAUCCGGAUAAUCAAGGCUGAGGUGUGAUGACGAGGCACUACGGUGCUGAAGUAACAAAUGCCCUGCUUCCAGGAAAAGCCUCUAAGCAUCAGGUAACAUCAAAUCGUACCCCAAACCGACACAGGUGGUCAGGUAGAGAAUACCAAGGCGCUUGAGAGAACUCGGGUGAAGGAACUAGGCAAAAUGGUGCCGUAACUUCGGGAGAAGGCACGCUGGUGUGUAGGUGAAGUCCCUGCGGAUGGAGCUGAGACCAGUCGAAGAUACCAGCUGGCUGCAACUGUUUAUUAAAAACACAGCACUGUGCAAACACGAAAGUGGACGUAUACGGUGUGACGCCUGCCCGGUGCCGGAAGGUUAAUUGAUGGGGUUAUCCGUAAGGAGAAGCUCUUGAUCGAAGCCCCGGUAAACGGCGGCCGUAACUAUAACGGUCCUAAGGUAGCGAAAUUCCUUGUCGGGUAAGUUCCGACCUGCACGAAUGGCGUAAUGAUGGCCAGGCUGUCUCCACCCGAGACUCAGUGAAAUUGAACUCGCUGUGAAGAUGCAGUGUACCCGCGGCAAGACGGAAAGACCCCGUGAACCUUUACUAUAGCUUGACACUGAACAUUGAGCCUUGAUGUGUAGGAUAGGUGGGAGGCUUUGAAGCGUGGACGCCAGUCUGCGUGGAGCCAACCUUGAAAUACCACCCUUUAAUGUUUGAUGUUCUAACGUUGGCCCCUGACCGGGGUUGCGGACAGUGUCUGGUGGGUAGUUUGACUGGGGCGGUCUCCUCCCAAAGCGUAACGGAGGAGCACGAAGGUUAGCUAAUCCUGGUCGGACAUCAGGAGGUUAGUGCAAUGGCAUAAGCUAGCUUGACUGCGAGCGUGACGGCGCGAGCAGGUGCGAAAGCAGGUCAUAGUGAUCCGGUGGUUCUGAAUGGAAGGGCCAUCGCUCAACGGAUAAAAGGUACUCCGGGGAUAACAGGCUGAUACCGCCCAAGAGUUCAUAUCGACGGCGGUGUUUGGCACCUCGAUGUCGGCUCAUCACAUCCUGGGGCUGAAGUAGGUCCCAAGGGUAUGGCUGUUCGCCAUUUAAAGUGGUACGCGAGCUGGGUUUAGAACGUCGUGAGACAGUUCGGUCCCUAUCUGCCGUGGGCGCUGGAGAAUUGAGGGGGGCUGCUCCUAGUACGAGAGGACCGGAGUGGACGCAUCACUGGUGUUCGGGUUGUCAUGCCAAUGGCACUGCCCGGUAGCUAAAUGCGGAAGAGAUAAGUGCUGAAAGCAUCUAAGCACGAAACUUGCCCCGAGAUGAGUUCUCCCUGAGACUUUAAGUCUCCUGAAGGAACGUUAAAGACGAUGACGUUGAUAGGCCGGGUGUGUAAGCGCAGCGAUGCGUUGAGCUAACCGGUACUAAUGAACCGUGAGGCUUAACCUU
rnacentral:rRNA from 1 species